rnacentral:rRNA from 1 species
GUCGAACGCUGGCGGCGUGCUUAACACAUGCAAGUCGAGCGGAAAGGCCCUUCGGGGUACUCGAGCGGCGAACGGGUGAGUAACACGUGAGUAACCUGCCCCAGACUUUGGGAUAACCCUCGGAAACGGGGGCUAAUACCGGAUACGACACAGCUUCGCAUGGGGUCUGUGUGGAAAGUUUUUCGGUUUGGGAUGGGCUCGCGGCCUAUCAGCUUGUUGGUGGGGUGAUGGCCUACCAAGGCGACGACGGGUAGCCGGCCUGAGAGGGCGACCGGCCACACUGGGACUGAGACACGGCCCAGACUCCUACGGGAGGCAGCAGUGGGGAAUAUUGCACAAUGGGCGGAAGCCUGAUGCAGCGACGCCGCGUGAGGGAUGACGGCCUUCGGGUUGUAAACCUCUUUCAGCAGGGACGAAGCGUAAGUGACGGUACCUGCAGAAGAAGCGCCGGCCAACUACGUG